CCGGCCAAAUUUCAUUAAGAUUGGGAGUAAAAUACAUGUAUCCCGACAUUAAACUGUCGAGUCAAGGUAAAAGCCUUGAAACAAAGUGAGAAAAAGCAAAGGGGAAAACUAUUUACAGAAGCAGCAACUAAAAGGUCUACUCCUCACUAAACUGAAAAAUACCGGCAGCUCUCCAGACCAUCACAUCUUCUUUAAUGUCUUCACUAGGAUUUUGUAAUUCGAAGCCUGCAUAUAUACAAAUGGAACGACACAUUUACAUGCCAAAGAAGAACUUGUUGGAAAUUCAGGAUCAUCGUAUGAAUAUGAAUAGUAAAGUUAAAUAAUUAUUGAUGAAUUGUUUUUAAGGAAACAAGCAUUACCUUUCUUGCAAGUCUGUCCUAUGACUUGCAAUAUUCUAUGUACACUUAGCUAGUUAGCUACCUGAUUUUAAAAAUAAGGUUCAUAUUCUUAGAGCUACACAUUGAAUACAGGUAAAUCACAUUUAAUGCAGGAGAUGGAUUACAGAGCAGAAGCAAGAAGUGGGCUUAAAUUCAGGUUACAUUCUUCAUUUAUUAGCAAAAGUCAAUUGAAUUGCUUUGUCUAAUAUGAACACUGUUACUAUCCAUUAUCUUGAAACAAUUCAAGUUACAAUUUGUAGAAACUUCAACUAGUCUGUAGUUCAAUAGACAUAAACUUUUUAUUACUUUAACAAGCCCUUGCAAUUUCUGAAAAGUAUAUUGUUCUAACAUGGGGCCAGUUCACAGAAACAUUAAAUCCGUUGCUCCGCCUUGACUAUGCAUGAGUGCUAUCACUAAACCAAUAUGCAUUGUUCAUUUUGGCUGAAUCGAGGAUAAAUAUAACACGGAUACCCCUUUUGCACUUCCUUUCUGCAACAGGGAAUUAUAUGGGAAAUUUAGAGAUGUACUAGUUCCAGAAAUGUAUCUGGAACAAACAAGAAGACGAGUCCUUAUCAUGGAAUGGGUUGAGGUGAAAUCUGCACUCUCAUUCACUCGUUAGCAACUUGAACAGCGCAUAGGCAACCCUAGUUACUGGCUUAUACUGUGGUCUUUUAGGGGGAAAAACUGUCAGAAGUCAGAGACCAAUAUUUGGUUGAGGUAAGACCAGUGCAUAUAUAAGUGAUUGAAAUCUUGUACCUCACUAUUAGUAACACCGUUGACCAGAUAGAUCUGCUGACAUUGUUACCUCACAGGUCGGAGUAUACUGCUCACUUUCUCAGCUUUUGGAAUAUGGAUUUUACCAUGCAGAUCCACAUCCUGGAAAUCUUUUGCGUACAGUUGAUGGGAAGCUAGCGUAUUUAGGUAAUAAUUGUGUUAUUCUGUUUCUGCCUUUAAUGUUUCUGAUUUUUUAGUCUUGGUAAUGAGUUAGUUCCUAAAUUUACUCAUUUGCUACCCUUUACAUGAAUCUUGUUCCAUUUUAACUAUCUGAAACAUUUUGUUCUCUAUGUAGAUUUCGGAAUGAUGGGAGAAUUCCGACAAGAACUUCGUGAUGGAUUUAUUGAAGCCUGUCUUCACCUUGUUAACCGUGAUUUUGAUGGUUUAGCAAAAGAUUUUGUUACUCUCGGGUAAGAAUAAGCACUAACAUCCAGUUGGCGCUGGGUAUCUGUGUAUCCCCAUAUCUGACCUAUCUUUAAUUUCUGCAGUUUACUUCCUCCAACUGCUCAGAAAGAUGAAGUGACAAAAGCAUUGACAGGUACUCCAGAUCUAGAUGGAUGCUAGCAUGCUAAGAAAAGAAAUUACUGAACCUUAAAGUCGCUUUACCCUGCUACUGCUAUCCUUGUUACGUUAAUUUUGGAUCAUUAAUGAUGAUAUAAUAACAUAUGUCCAUUUGGCACAACUCACAAUUCCCUGUUUUUAAUAUCUCAGGUGUAUUUCAAAAUGCUGUUGACAGAGGGGUGCAAAAUAUAAGCUUUGGAGAUCUGUCAGGGAAUCUUGGUCGAACUAUGUACUAAUCUAGUUUAUGAAACCCUAUUUUACAAAAAUAAAUGGGGUUUAUAUCAAACUGUUGAUUCUCUAUAAGACUGCUCUUAACUAGAGUUAAUCUUGUUUCAGGUAUAAAUUCAAGUUCCAGAUACCUUCUUACUUCUCUCUUGUAAUUCGAAGGUAAUAAGUUUUCCCUAGCGUAGGUAUCACUCUCUACCAGUAACUAUAUUUAUUAACGGACAACAAACAUGCAAAUUACUACUCUAGAGGUCUAAAGAUGAUGCUGCCUUGCUGUUUUUUACAUUUGAAAGGUUUUUGAUGUUAUUUUUCAGCCUUGCUGUCUUGGAAGGCAUUGCAAUCAGCUUCAAUCCCAACUACAAAGUCUUGGGCAGUUCAUACCCAUGGAUUGCAAGAAAAGUUCUCACAGACAGCUCACCAAAGCUCCGAUCAACUUUGCAGACGCUUCUUUAUAAGGUCAAUUAACCUUUUAAUUUUCAGGCAAUUAUAAAUUAUGAUGAAACAAGUGACCAUGCUAGCAAGUUUGCAAAACCAAAGAAGAUAAUAGGAAUACAGGAUUGUUUAAAUUUUACUUUGGGUUUCAGGUCUAAGAUUCUCUACUGCAAGUGGAACUUCUGUCAGUCAUGACUAACCUUUUUAUCUUCCCUCCAACUAAAUGUAUAGGAUGGCACUUUCCAGAUUGACCGUUUGGAGUCUUUGCUAACUGAGGUUGGUUAAUUUCCCACAUGUUUAAGUGUGUUCUGUUGAUCUUAAUUGUAUGAUAUAAUUGCUUUUUUAUUUCUAUGGUAUGACAUGGAUAAUUAGAAUAUUCUAUGACCUAUUUUGACUUGACUGGUUCUAGAGCUGAUUGACGGUAUUUUGAUUAAAAUCUAGAAACCAGGUAGAAGCUGACUGGUUUUCAGCAAAUGCAUCCUUUCCAGUUUUAUGAACCCUGUUCCAACCAUUUUCUCAGAAAAUGUCUCCUUUUGUUUUCUUGUUACAGUCGCUUCGAGCAAGAACAGAGCAGUCCCUGACCAGGGAUCAACAAGAGGAAACUGAUAGUUCCAAAUUUGCAAUUAAACAAGUCUUGUCAUUUACUCUUACUGAACAGGUAAAGUGAACUACGAUUCUUUAAUAUUGAACUCCCUCUAGGUAAUAAGCCAAGAUUGAUAUCGAUGGUCGAGCAUUUGAAACUUUUUGUUCUCUUUCCAGGGUGCCUUCGUGAAGGAUUUACUUCUUCAGGAGAUUGCUAAGGUCAGUUAACUCGUUAGAGGUGCAGUUUUCAUGUUUGUUGGCUUGAAUCUUGAUUAUCAACCAACAUUCUGACUGUUCUGAAUAGUUAUUCACAUGGAAAAGAGCACUUGAACUUAGUGAUGGGGGGGGGGGGGGGGGAACCAGUUCAUUUAUGAGUUUUCGGUUCAUCAUAAAUCAGAUAUAACUGAUUUUUGCACGUUCUAUGCCAUGGGUACUAGUGAGGCAGCUAGCAGGUAAUAUGAAUUAGAAAUUGUGUUCAGGGAAGUUCUAAUUGAUAUAGACUUUGCAAAUAAAGCAGGAAAUUCAUUUUGUUUCAAAGAAUUGAGAACUUUGGAAUAAAAUACUCCCUGUGAUUCAUCUACCUUUGGUUCCUAAUUAAUCCUGAUUUAGUUUACAAGAUAAGGAAUUCUCUUUGGCAUCAUGAAUCUUUCCUUGAAUUGAUAUAUAUGGCACCUUUUUUAUAGGUUACAUAAGCUAUGCUUUCUCAAGCGUUGUAUUUUCAGGGAUUAGAUGCACUUGGAGCUGCUACAUUGAGUUCUGCAACAUCUGCUGCAGCCUCCAGAUUGCCGUUUGCUGUUCCAUCCCCAUCACCCUCACUAGACAAUGAGGAUGCCACUAACUUGAGAAAUUUACAUCGCCUUCUCCUACUUUUGUCCAAGGUCCCUCAGAAGGAGGAUUCAUCUCCAGUAAGUAAAAUUUUCAAUAAAAGAUCACUUCUCAAUUUUUCACAUUUCUUAAUUAUAGUAGGUGUGGGUGAAAUGCAUAAAAUGCCCUGACCCCCUGGCUAUAAACGAUUGUAAGAAAGCAUUUGGCAUAUACAGAACUGAAUUCUGGAUUAAAUUGAGAAAACGACUAUGUAGCAUUAUCUUUACAAAAUGAUGUUUAACUGGCAAAUCACAAUACCGGCAAACCUCCCAAAUAAAUGACCCGGAUUUGCAAAACUACCCUAUUAGAACUCAAAUUGGAAAAUGUACUAGGAGUAGUGGAGUACUAUUUGAGUCUUUAUACUGUACUACGAUUCCUCAUUCUAUGCAAUCCUUUUUGCAGAUUCCAGGAUACAAUAGCACUGAGGAGAACGAAGGUGAUAGUACAGAUGAGAUUUCUCUUGUGUUAUAUGAAAUGAGAUCUCUACCAGAGUUGUUGCCAGUACUUUCUGUCAUUCCUGAGGUAAGAAUGGAAAUACAAGUAGGAUAUGGAAAUACAAGUAGGAUGGAAAUGUAUAUCAGGAUCGACGUUGAAUAUGAUCUGUAGCUUUUGAGCUCUCACACUAAUGCAGUAAUGCUCACCUUAACGCAGCUUCCACCAGAGUCCCAACAGCAGUUUCUCCUCCUGCCAGCAGAUUUAACUAAUCGUCUUCUGUCUCGCGCUGUUGCAAGAACCAUCA
rnacentral:lncRNA from 1 species